rnacentral:rRNA from 1 species
CCCGGGUGAUAAGCAUAUCAAUAAGCGGAGGAAAAGAAACCAACAGGGAUUGCCCCAGUAACGGCGAGUGAAGCGGCAACAGCUCAAAUUUGAAAUCUGGCCCCCAGGGCCCGAGUUGUAAUUUGCAGAGGAUGCUUUUGGCGCGGUGCCUUCCGAGUUCCCUGGAACGGGACGCCAUAGAGGGUGAGAGCCCCGUCUGGUCGGACGCCUAGCCUGUGUAAAGCUCCUUCGACGAGUCGAGUAGUUUGGGAAUGCUGCUCUAAAUGGGAGGUAUAUGUCUUCUAAAGCUAAAUACCGGCCAGAGACCGAUAGCGCACAAGUAGAGUGAUCGAAAGAUGAAAAGCACUUUGAAAAGAGGGUUAAAUAGUACGUGAAAUUGUUGAAAGGGAAGCGCUUGUGACCAGACUUGGGCCCGGUGGAUCAUCCAGCGUUCUCGCUGGUGCACUCCGCCGGGUUCAGGCCAGCAUCAGUUCGCCGCGGGGGAAAAAGGCUUCGGGAACGUGGCUCCUACGGGAGUGUUAUAGCCCGUUGCAUAAUACCCUGGGGCGGACUGAGGUUCGCGCUCCGCAAGGAUGCUGGCGUAAUGGUCAUCAGCGACCCGUCUUGAAACACGGACCAAGGAGUCGUCUUCGUAUGCGAGUGUUCGGGUGUAAAACCCCUACGCGUAAUGAAAGUGAACGCAGGUGAGAGCUUCGGCGCAUCAUCGACCGAUCCUGAUGUUCUCGGAUGGAUUUGAGUAAGAGCAUACGGGGCCGGACCCGAAAGAAGGUGAACUAUGCCUGUAUAGGGUGAAGCCAGAGGAAACUCUGGUGGAGGCUCGCAGCGGUUCUGACGUGCAAAUCGAUCGUCAAAUAUGGGCAUGGGGGCGAAAGACUAAUCGAA